GCAGUUGUGGAGGUUAAAAACAAUAUAACCGAUGUGUUACUGAGGUUUCACCAAAAUGUUGUUGAGCACGUUCAGACACUCACAAACGAGGUACACAUAGCUCCAAUUGCGGCGUGUCUUUUCUGAUCACUUAAUCUUUUUUUUUUUUCUCACUUAAUCUUUUAGUUUAUUAUAACUAAAAGAUUAAUGAUUUCGUUUAUCUAAGUCAACUCUUGUAACCUUAAUCGAGAUAGAAGACGUGAACAUGCUGCAACAAAUCCUAGUUCUGUUAGAGAAUACUAUGAACGAUCUGGACGCAAACGAGUUGCUG
rnacentral:lncRNA from 1 species